UGUUCGCAGACGUGUUUGGUUGGCCCCCUUGCGAAGUCACGUAGCGUGCCACAGGCGGAGAUGUACUAAUAUAGACGACCGUGGUUGGCGGAGACAGCAUGAUGGUGCCCGAAGGUGAGCCAUUGCCGUUCCACGAGCCGUCUUGCUUCGGCGUGCUCCCUCCCACCCCGAUUUUGCCGUGACCAUCAUCUGCAAAAAGAAAAGAAAA